CCAUGGAACAUCAAUACUCUAAAUGGAAUUAGGUGUCCCAAGACUAUGCGUGGAAUGAUGUGACUCCGUGAAUGGGGUUUUGUGUGUAAAUGGACGUUGUUUCCUUUGGAAAGUUUGGGGAAAUUCAAAGAUGAUACUCUGUAAGUAAACAACAGGAAUUCUGCAGAUGCUGGAAAUUCAAGCAACACACAUAAAAGUUGCUGGUGAACGCAGCAGGCCAGGCAGCAUCUCUAGGAAGAGGUGCAGUCGACGUUUCAGGCCGAGACCCUUCGUCAGGACUCACUCUAUUUCUCUCAAUAUCAGAAAGAUUCAACAAUUGUUAAAAAGCUGAGCCACUUUAACAAGGAUCAAGCACAUUUCGAUGAUAAAGGCUCAGAUGCAGACCGUUGAAAGGGUUCUUUUGAAGAGGCUGACCUGGAGUUACAUGCUAACUACAGUUCGUUGCGGGAAUGGGACCUGCUCUCGGGUUUCACAACCGACCGUUCAGCAUGUUCGGCAUGACAAGGGCUCGGCUUUGGAAGCCUAGGAUCUCAGGGCUCUGGAGGUGGGUGGAUCAAGGUUUCGGUGUCACAACAGGAGACCCAU